AUACGGAGGAUGCAAGCGUUAUCCGGAUUUAUUGGGUUUAAAGGGUGCGUAGGCUGCUCGGAAAGUCAGGGGUGAAAGCCCGGCGCCUAACGCCGGAACUGCCUUUGAUACUUCCGAGCUGGAAUACGGAUGCCGUGGGAGGAAUGAGUAGUGUAGCGGUGAAAUGCAUAGAUAUUACUCAGAACACCGAUUGCGAAGGCAUCUCACGAAUCCGUCAUUGACGCUGAGGCACGAAAGCGUGGGGAUCAAACAGGAUUAGAUACCCUGGUAGUCCACGCAGUAAACGAUGAUGACUAACCGUCGGCGAUACACAGUCGGUGGUCAAGCGAAAGCGAUAAGUCAUCCACCUGGGGAGUACGUUCGCAAGAAUGAAACUUAAAGGAAUUGACGGGG
rnacentral:rRNA from 1 species